UUUAAUUAUUAGGUGAUCGAGGUCAGCUAUUUUUCUGCAUCCAGCAGCCACAAUAGUCAUUGGUGUACUGCCACAGGAGGAGUUAUUUUACAGAGCAACCUGUUUUCUUCCUCGCAGGUUUAACGUCGAUUAUUUAAUUGUUUUACUAUCUUUUCUAAAUUUAAAAUCUAGAACUCCGCAUGUGUUAGUAAUAGUGUGGACCUUGUUAGAAAUUGUGUUAAUUUAAAUUUUUGAGAUUAAUAAAUGAAGAUUUGUAUGGUAUUUAAACAGUUUGUAAAUGAGGUAACAGGGUUGAGCUGGGCUCCCCUGAUUUUAGUUUCUGAAAAUUUCUGGGCUAAGUUGGCCCGAAAUGAAAUUAUAACAGUUUGAUUUAAA